rnacentral:rRNA from 1 species
UGGGGAAUAUUGGACAAUGGGCGAAAGCCUGAUCCAGCCAUGCCGCGUGUGUGAAGAAGGUCUUCGGAUUGUAAAGCACUUUAAGUUGGGAGGAAGGGCAGUAAGCGAAUACCUUGCUGUUUUGACGUUACCGACAGAAUAAGCACCGGCUAACUCUGUGCCAGCAGCCGCGGUAAUACAGAGGGUGCAAGCGUUAAUCGGAAUUACUGGGCGUAAAGCGCGCGUAGGUGGUUCGUUAAGUUGAAUGUGAAAGCCCCGGGCUCAACCUGGGAACUGCAUCCAAAACUGGCGAGCUAGAGUAGGGCAGAGGGUGGUGGAAUUUCCUGUGUAGCGGUGAAAUGCGUAGAUAUAGGAAGGAACACCAGUGGCGAAGGCGACCACCUGGGCUCAGACUGACACUGAGGUGCGAAAGCGUGGGGAGCAAACAGG